AUACUCUUCUCAGGCUUGUCCAUUAGAACGAAUGGCUGUGCAGGGUCACCAUGGGAACAACUGAGACAUUUUUCAAAGGGCAGCUGAGUGGUCACUCAGCACCAGGUGCAGUCUGGAAGCCAGAGGCCACAAAUCCAGCACUCUGAACUGGUGUUUUCCUCUCUGACUAGAUGUCUACUGGCGAUCUUGAAUGUUCUGUGGCCAGGUUGUUUGUUGGGUGUUCUCGAGCAUUCUGUGGUCUGGCAAGUUGACACAUUAUAUAAUUCAUCAAUGCUGAAGAAAGGACCUCUGCUCGCUCCGGUCAACUCUGCUUCGGUCAGACCUGCUGGCUCACUCCGACCCAAAGAUCUAUUAUUA
rnacentral:lncRNA from 1 species